UUUUACUAAAGCCAACCCUGUUUUUCAUUUCCUAAACCCAACCCUGUUGUUCUUUUCCUAAACUCCAUCGCCGCUUUCUUCUUUUAUUAAAACCAACCCCGUUCUUCUUGUCUUAAACCCAACCGGUUCUUCUUUUCGUAAACACAACCAUAGCUUUCUUCUUUACCUAAACCCAA